ACCUGGCUGGCUCAGUCAGAGGAGCAUGUGAUUCUUGAUCUCAGGGUCAUGGGUUCAAUCCCCACGUUGGAUG
rnacentral:tRNA from 1 species